AUUGAACGCUGGCGGAAUGCUUUACACAUGCAAGUCGAGCGGCAGCGCGGGGCAACCUGGCGGCGAGCGGCGAACGGGUGAGUAAUACAUCGGAACGUGCCCAGACGUGGGGGAUAACUACUCGAAAGAGUGGCUAAUACCGCAUACGAUCUAAGGAUGAAAGCGGGGAUCGCAAAGACCUCGCGCGUUUGGAGCGGCCGAUGGCAGAUUAGGUAGUUGGUGGGGUAAAGGCUUACCAAGCCCGCGAUCUGUAGCUGGUCUGAGAGGAUGAUCAGCCACACCGGGACUGAGACACGGCCCGAGACCUCCGUACGGGAGGCAGCAGGUAGGGGUAAGUUUUGGAACAAGUGGGACGAACGCCUGACUCCACGCCUA
rnacentral:rRNA from 1 species